rnacentral:rRNA from 1 species
UCAGGACGAACGCUGGCGGCAUGCCUAACACAUGCAAGUCGAACGGAGUAAUGACUUCGGUUAUUACUUAGUGGCGAACGGGUGAGUAACACGUGAAUAAUCUGCCCUGUACGAUGGGAUAACAGCUGGAAACGGCUGCUAAUACCGUAUAUGACCACGCCGAGGCAUCUCGGAGGGGUGAAAGCGCUUAAGCGGUACAGGAUGAGUUCGCGUCCAAUUAGCUAGUUGGUGAGGUAACGGCCCACCAAGGCGACGAUUGGUAGCCGACCUGAGAGGGUGAUCGGCCACACUGGAACUGAGACACGGUCCAGACUCCUACGGGAGGCAGCAGUGGGGAAUAUUGGGCAAUGGAGGAAACUCUUUAACCCCCAGCAAUGCCGCGUGAGUGAUGAAGGUCUUCGGAUUGUAAAGCUCUUUGAUUGGGGACGAAUAAAUGACGGUACCCAAGGAACAAGCCCCGGCUAACUAUGUGCCAGCCGCAGC